AUGCCGUGAGAUACUUCCCUUACAGGGCUUCCAAUGAUGAGACAGAGGCUAUGCAGAACUUCAGGGACCCAGAAAAGAUGAGUGAUUUUCUAAAGUAAUUCCACUUUUGCUUAAACCAAAUGCACGCAGCUCAAGGAGUGUUAGCUACCUGUUAUUUUAGCAUUUUCCAGUCUUCCAGCUCUCCAUUCUGUAUCCCUAAGAGGCAAUUCUACAUCAAUAUUGUGACAUUGCCCAUGGGGAAAACUAAGGCCCAUAAAGACCUUAGAAAAAGAUGAGAAACCACUGGGGAGAAAUGAAGAGUGGAGGACCCAAUCCAACCAAGAGGAAGAAACAGCAAGAACAUUGGCGAUUAAGCUGCUCCCAGCCUUGGGGAUGAUGACAGGGUGGAUCCUGGAACUGCUUGAGUCAGAAGCCAAAUGGCCAUCCUCGCCCGCCACGCAGAAGGAACCACAAGGGCCGGGAGCCAGGCACAGUGGCUCGUGCCCAUAAUCCUAUACCCUGGGAGGCUGAGGCCAGAGGAUCCCUUGACCUAAGGAACACAAGACCUGUUUCUACUGAAAAAGGAAAGAAAGAAAAUAAAACAAAAGUUCAAUGUGUGUGCAAUUCUUUGGGGGCCUGAUUUUUAGAGUUCGGAAGCUCCAGAUUGGUCUCUAGGCUACCCAGAGAAAUCAGGGUGUUUCUUCUGUCUGCUGAGCUGCUGACUCUCUCCUCUGUGGAGAGCCACGCCUGCUUGUCGUGAACUCACCUGGGGGACAGUAUGCUCAGUGACAUAAGGCAGCCACAAAAGGACAAACACUGGAAGGAGUGGGAUAGAUUCUAUGGGCAACUGCAGUUUUCACCGAGACACAUGGCUGACAAAAAGAUAUCUGAACAGGACAUAUGGCCCUCCGCUGAAGAAGCCAGGGUGUGAGUGAUCCUGGUGUCAGAAGAACCCCAAGCCAAGCAUCUCUCCCCAGGUCUCAAGCGUCUGGACCCAUCUGUACACACUUGCUUAGCUCUGUGAAAACACGAAGAAGGCUUUUGCAUGAAUGAAUGGCUUCAAUGUCAUCCUGGGACAAGGUCAGAGGGCUGGGGAAACAAGCUCAGAAACAAUUCUUUCAUCUUUUCCAAACAGUUUUCAUCUUUCUAUGCCCUGGAAAGCCAAGCUUUCUUCAUUUCACAUUCAGGGAAGAAUUUAUCUGUGCUUUUGUAAACAGUGUUUUGCACAGCCAUUCAUCACAGAAUUACGCCUCCUACACCUGUUAUUGUGGAAAGACUUUUCUGAACCUCUGAAGUUUUCUCUAGGAUUGUGGCUUCUGUAUAACCCCUAUUCUGCAGGCACAAAAUCACCACGCUGGAAUCUGGGAAAGUUCAUUUUCCUUGGCGUCGGAUGAUAGGAGUGUACCGUCUAACUCUGAGGUUUUAAUCACAAACUGCCAGGACUCCGUAUGUUCAACAGCUAAUGACUGCAUGGGAUACGGUAAGAGUUCCUGAGUACAUCUGCCCAUUUCCACAUUACAAACCUGGAUUGUCAUACAAGCAAGAAUGCAAUUUCCCAAUCAGUCCCAAAUAUUUAAAAUAAGACAGGCAUAAUUAAAUAUGGCAUGCUCUUAGGCUGUGCUUUGAGAAGCAGAGAGACAAUAAAGGCUGUGUCACCAGGCAUCUGUAACCAACGGGUACUGCAAACUGGCUUCCACAUUCUGAGAUGCUUUCUGUAGUACUACUUUAUUAAAAUGGAGGGAAAGAGGCUCGGCGCCUGUAGCUCAGUGAGUAGGGCACUGGCCACAUACACUGAGGCUGGCAGGUUCGAGCCUGGCCUACGCCAGCUAAACAACAAUGACAACUGCAACCAAAAAAUAGGCAGGUGUUGUGGUGGACAACUGUAGCCCCAGCUACUCAGGAGGCUGAGGCAAGAGAAUUGCUUAAGCCCAAGAGUUGGAGGUUGCUGUGAGCUGUGAUGCCACGGCACUGUACUAAGGGUGACAUAGUGAGACUCUUGUCUCAAAAAAAAUGAAGGGAAUGAGGGGGGUGAGUCCAGAGGGCUACUCUGCCCUUCACUGAGGUGAAAUAACAGUCUCAA